UGGGGAAUCUUGCGCAAUGGGCGAAAGCCUGACGCAGCAACGCCGCGUGGAGGAUGAAGGCCCUUGGGUUGUAAACUCCUGUCGGCUGGGAAGAAAUCGUUCGGGGCUAAUACCUCCGGACGUUGACUGUACCAGCAAAGGAAGCCCCGGCUAACUCUGUGCCAGCAGCCGCGGUAAUACAGAGGGGGCCAGCGUUAUUCGGAAUUAUUGGGCGUAACGGGCGCGUAGGCGGCCAUGCGUGUCUCCCGUGAAAUCCCUCGGCUUAACUGGGGACGUGCGGGAGAAAAUGCAAGGCUCGAGUCCGGGAGAGGGGGGUGGAAUUCCCAGUGUAGCGAUGAAAUGCGUAGAUAUUGGGAGGAACACCGGUGGCGAAGGCGGCCCCCUGGACCGGUACUGACGCUGAGGCACGAAAGCGUGGGUAGCAAACGGG
rnacentral:rRNA from 1 species